CUAAGAAGCAUCCUCUCUUACAGCUCUUAGAGAUGGACACAGAUGCACUCCUGCUAUGGGUGCUGCUAUUUUGGGUUACAGGUUCUGCUGGGGAUAUUGUGCUGACUCAGUCUCCAGCUUUGUUGGCCAUGUCACUAGGGCAAAAGGCCACCAUCUCCUGCAAGACCAGCCAGAGUGUUGAUAAUUAUGGCUUGAAUUAUAUGCACUGGUACCAACAGAAACCAGGACAGCCACCUAAACUCCUCAUCUAUGCUGCAUCCAACCUAGUAUCUGGGGUCCCUGCCAGGUUCAGUGGCAGUGGGUCUAGGACAGACUUCACUCUUACCAUCCAUCCUGUGGAGGCUGAGGAUGCUGCAUCCUAUUACUGUCAGCAAAGUAAGGAAGAUCCUCCCACAGUGCUCCAGGCCUGA